AUGACUGAAUAUAAACUUGCGGUAGUUGGAGCUGGUGGCGUAAGCAAAAGUGUCUUGACGAUACAGCUAAUUCAGAAUCAUUUUGUGGACCAAUAUGAUCCAACAAUAGAGAAUUCCUACAGGAAGCAAGUAGUAAUUGAUGGAGAAACCUGUCUCUUGGAUAUUCUUGACACAACAGGUCAAGAAGAGUACAAUGCAAUGAGGACCAGUACAUGAGGACUGGGCGGGGGGGGGGGGGGGGCUUUCUUUGUGUAUUUGCCAUAAAUAAUAUUAAAUCAUUUGAAGAUAUGCACAAUUAUAGAAAACAAAUUAAAAGAUUUAAGGACUCUGAAGAUGUGCCUAUGGUCCUAGUAGGAAAUAAAUGUGAUUUGCCUUCUAGAACAGUAGACACAAAAGGCUCAGGACUUAGCAAGGAGUUAGGGAAUUCCCUUUAUUGAAACCAGCAAAGACAGGGUGUUAAUGAUGCCUUCUAUACAUUAGUUUGAGAAAUAAAAGAUGAGCAAAGAUGGUAAGAAGAAGAAAAGUCAAUGACAAAGUGUGUAAUUAUGUAAA
rnacentral:lncRNA from 1 species